rnacentral:rRNA from 1 species
GACAGAGGUGCCAAGCGUUAGGCGGAAUCACUGGGCUUAAAGCGUGUGUAGGCGGGUCGUUAAGUGUCUUGUGAAAUCCCCCGGCUCAACCGGGGAAUGGCUGGGCAUACUGGCGAUCUUGAGCAGUCUAGGGGCAGAUGGAACAGACGGUGGAGCGGUGAAAUGCGUAGAUAUCAUUUGGAACGCCAAUGGUGAAAACAGGUAGCUGGGGCUGUGCUGACGCUGAGACACGAAAGCCAGGGGAGCAAACGGG